rnacentral:lncRNA from 1 species
UGGAUUAGAAUGACGCUCUCCUAACCAUUUAGGUUGAGUUGUAGCGACACUGCCCUCCCCAUUAGUCCCAGCUCCAACAAAGAUGUUGGGUGGUGAUCCUGGGGAAGAGGAAGUUGUGCAAAAUAGAGAGGAAUGUUUUGCAAGUGUGGAGGAAGGGGAGGGAGGUUGUCCAUAGUUGGUGGACGAUGAUUUCUUAGGAUUUGAAUGAAUCUGAAC